rnacentral:rRNA from 1 species
AUUGAACGCUGGCGGCAGGCCUAACACAUGCAAGUCGAACGAGUGGCGGACGGGUGAGUAAUGUCUGGGAAAGUGCGUGGUGGAGGGGGAUAACUACUGGAAACGGUAGCUAAUACCGCAUACCAUCGGAUGUGCCCAGGUGGGAUUAGCUAGUAGGUGGGGUAACGGCUCACCUAGGCGACGAUCCGUAGCUGGUCUGAGAGGAUGACCAGCCACCCUGGAACUGAGACACGGUCCAGACUCCUACGGGAGGCAGCAGUGGGGAAUAUUGCACAAUGGGCGCAAGCCUGAUGCAGCCAUGCCGCGUGUAUGAAGAAGGCCUUCGGGUUGUAAAGUACUUUCAGCUGGGAGGCGUUACCAGCAGAAGAAGCACCGGCUAACUCCGUGCCAGCCGCCGCGGUAAUUC